GGGGAGCGGAACGGCAUGGGAGGGCCGGCCGCAGCGGGUGACAGCCCCGUACGCGAACCCAGACCGGACGGCGCGACGCGGUCCCUGAGUAGGGCCGGGCACGUGAAACCCGGUCCGAACCUGGGUGGACCACCAUCCAAGCCUGAGUACUACCCUGUGACCGAUAGCGCACCAGUACCGUGAGGGAAAGGUGAAAAGCACCCCGGGAGGGGAGUGAAACAGUACCUGAAACCGUGCGCCCACGAGCAGUCGGAGCACCCUAUGCGGUGUGACGGCGUGCCUUUUGUAGAAUGAGCCAGCGAGUCGCUGGCGCGGGGCGAGGUUAACCGAAAGGGAGCCGGAGCGAAAGCGAGCCUUAACAGGGCGACUUGAGUCCCGCGCCGCGGACGCGAAGCCGGGUGAGCUAUCCGUGGGCAGGCUGAAGCGGGGGUAAGACCCCGUGGAGGGCCGAACGCACGUCGGUUGAAAACGGCGGCGAUGACCUGCGGAUAGGGGUGAAAGGCCAAUCAAACCCGGAGAUAUCUCGUUCUCCCCGAAAUAGCUUUAGGGCUAGCGUCGCGCGUUCACCGCCGGAGGUAGAGCACCGGAUGGACGAGGGGGCUUCGCCGCCUACCGAAUCCAACCGAACUCCGAAUGCCGGCGGCCCAGAGCGCGGCAGUCAGAGCAUGUGGGCUAAGCUGUGUGCUCGAGAGGGAAACAGCCCAGACCGCCCGCUAAGGCCCCCAAGUCAUCGCUGAGUGGCAAAGGAUGUGCGUCCGCCCAGACAACCAGGAUGUUGGCUUAGAAGCAGCCAUUCAUUCAAAGAGUGCGUAACAGCUCACUGGUCGAGUGGACAUGCGCCGACAAUACACGGGGCUAAGCUGGACACCGAAGCGGCGGGAUUUUAUCUAUAUAGAAUCGGUAGGGGAGCUUCCCAUGGGCGGAGAAGCCGGAGGGCGACCGACGGUGGAGCGCAUGGGAGUGAGAAUGCUGGCAUGAGUAGCGAGAGACGAGAGAGUAACUCGUCCGCCGUGAACCCGAGGUUUCCUGGGCAAGGCUAAUCCUCCCAGGGUCAGUCGGGGGCUAAGGCGAGGCCGGGAGGCGUAGCCGACGCGCAGCAGGCAGACAUUCCUGCACCGCGCACGCGGCGCUACGACCGACGGGGCGACGGAUGGGGGUGGCUCGGCGGGGUUCUGGACGUCCCCGUGAUGGAGCGCGGCCCGCGGACCAGGGAAAUCCGGUCCGCACGAGGGCGAGGCUCCGGACGAAGCGAUUGAGCGAAGCGAGUGAGCCCGAGGUCCCUAGAAAAACCCCUAGGCAGGCGCGUGCGCGCCCGUACCGCAAACCGACACAGGUGGGUGGGUAGAACAUACCGAGGCGAUCGGGUCAACCAUGGUCAAGGAACUCGGCACAAUGGCCCCGUAACUUCGGGAGAAGGGGUGCCCGCGCGUACGUGAACGGACUUGCUCCGGGAGCGGAGGCGGGCCGCAGUGGAGAGGCCCAAGCGACUGUUUACCAAAAACACAGGACUCUGCAGAAGCCGCAAGGCGACGUAUAGGGUCUGACGCCUGCCCGGUGCCGGAAGGUCACGCGGAGGAGUUAGCCGAUUCGGCGAAGCCCCGAAGCCAAGCCCCGGUAAACGGCGGCCGUAACUAUAACGGUCCUAAGGUAGCGAAAUUCCUUGUCGGGUAAGUUCCGACCUGCACGAAAGGCGCAACGACUUGGGCGCUGUCUCGACCAUGGACCCGGUGAAAUUGCACUGGUCGUGAAGAUGCGACUUACCCGCGGAAGGACGGAAAGACCCCGUGAACCUUCACUGCAGCUUGGCAUUGGCCGCUGGUCCCGCGUGUAGAGGAUAGGCAGGAGGCGAAGAUCCGGAGGCGCCAGCCCCCGGGGAGCCGCCCUUGGAAUACUGCCCUCGCGCGACCGGCGUCCUAACCCGAGGCCGUCAACCGGCUCGGGGACCGUGCCAGGCGGGCAGUUUGACUGGGGCGGUCGCCUCCUAAAGGGUAACGGAGGCGCGCGAAGGUCCGCUCGGGACGGUCGGCAACCGUCCUUUUGAAUGCAAGAGUACAAGCGGGCUUGACUGCGAGGCCCACAAGCCGAGCAGGUGCGAAAGCAGGCUCUAGUGAUCCGGCGGCCCCGAGUGGGUGGGCCGUCGCUCAACGGAUAAAAGGUACUCCGGGGAUAACAGGCUGAUCUUGCCCAAGAGUCCACAUCGACGGCAAGGUUUGGCACCUCGAUGUCGGCUCAUCGCAUCCUGGGGCUGGAGUAGGUCCCAAG
rnacentral:rRNA from 1 species